GGGUUGUGAGGUUAAGCGACUAAGCGUACACGGUGGAUGCCCUGGCAGUCAGAGGCGAUGAAGGACGUGCUAAUCUGCGAUAAGCGUCGGUAAGGUGAUAUGAACCGUUAUAACCGGCGAUUUCCGAAUGGGGAAACCCAGUGUGAUUCGUCACACUAUCAUUAACUGAAUCCAUAGGUUAAUGAGGCGAACCGGGGGAACUGAAACAUCUAAGUACCCCGAGGAAAAGAAAUCAACCGAGAUUCCCCCAGUAGCGGCGAGCGAACGGGGAGCAGCCCAGAGCCUGAAUCAGUGUGUGUGUUAGUGGAAGCGUCUGGAAAGGCGCGCGAUACAGGGUGACAGCCCCGUACACAAAAAUGCACAUACUGUGAGCUCGAUGAGUAGGGCGGGACACGUGGUAUCCUGUCUGAAUAUGGGGGGACCAUCCUCCAAGGCUAAAUACUCCUGACUGACCGAUAGUGAACCAGUACCGUGAGGGAAAGGCGAAAAGAACCCCGGCGAGGGGAGUGAAAAAGAACCUGAAACCGUGUACGUACAAGCAGUGGGAGCACAGAGCAAUCUGUGUGACUGCGUACCUUUUGUAUAAUGGGUCAGCGACUUAUAUUCUGUAGCAAGGUUAACCGAAUAGGGGAGCCGAAGGGAAACCGAGUCUUAACUGGGCGUUAAGUUGCAGGGUAUAGACCCGAAACCCGGUGAUCUAGCCAUGGGCAGGUUGAAGGUUGGGUAACACUAACUGGAGGACCGAACCGACUAAUGUUGAAAAAUUAGCGGAUGACUUGUGGCUGGGGGUGAAAGGCCAAUCAAACCGGGAGAUAGCUGGUUCUCCCCGAAAGCUAUUUAGGUAGCGCCUCGUGAAUUCAUCUCCGGGGGUAGAGCACUGUUUCGGCAAGGGGGUCAUCCCGACUUACCAACCCGAUGCAAACUGCGAAUACCGGAGAAUGUUAUCACGGGAGACACACGGCGGGUGCUAACGUCCGUCGUGAAGAGGGAAACAACCCAGACCGCCAGCUAAGGUCCCAAAGUCAUGGUUAAGUGGGAAACGAUGUGGGAAGGCCCAGACAGCCAGGAUGUUGGCUUAGAAGCAGCCAUCAUUUAAAGAAAGCGUAAUAGCUCACUGGUCGAGUCGGCCUGCGCGGAAGAUGUAACGGGGCUAAACCAUGCACCGAAGCUGCGGCAGCGACGCUUAUGCGUUGUUGGGUAGGGGAGCGUUCUGUAAGCCUGUGAAGGUGUACUGUGAGGUAUGCUGGAGGUAUCAGAAGUGCGAAUGCUGACAUAAGUAACGAUAAAGCGGGUGAAAAGCCCGCUCGCCGGAAGACCAAGGGUUCCUGUCCAACGUUAAUCGGGGCAGGGUGAGUCGACCCCUAAGGCGAGGCCGAAAGGCGUAGUCGAUGGGAAACAGGUUAAUAUUCCUGUACUUGGUGUUACUGCGAAGGGGGGACGGAGAAGGCUAUGUUGGCCGGGCGACGGUUGUCCCGGUUUAAGCGUGUAGGCUGGUUUUCCAGGCAAAUCCGGAAAAUCAAGGCUGAGGCGUGAUGACGAGGCACUACGGUGCUGAAGCAACAAAUGCCCUGCUUCCAGGAAAAGCCUCUAAGCAUCAGGUAACAUCAAAUCGUACCCCAAACCGACACAGGUGGUCAGGUAGAGAAUACCAAGGCGCUUGAGAGAACUCGGGUGAAGGAACUAGGCAAAAUGGUGCCGUAACUUCGGGAGAAGGCACGCUGAUAUGUAGGUGAAGUCCCUCGCGGAUGGAGCUGAAAUCAGUCGAAGAUACCAGCUGGCUGCAACUGUUUAUUAAAAACACAGCACUGUGCAAACACGAAAGUGGACGUAUACGGUGUGACGCCUGCCCGGUGCCGGAAGGUUAAUUGAUGGGGUCAGCGCAAGCGAAGCUCUUGAUCGAAGCCCCGGUAAACGGCGGCCGUAACUAUAACGGUCCUAAGGUAGCGAAAUUCCUUGUCGGGUAAGUUCCGACCUGCACGAAUGGCGUAAUGAUGGCCAGGCUGUCUCCACCCGAGACUCAGUGAAAUUGAACUCGCUGUGAAGAUGCAGUGUACCCGCGGCAAGACGGAAAGACCCCGUGAACCUUUACUAUAGCUUGACACUGAACAUUGAGCCUUGAUGUGUAGGAUAGGUGGGAGGCUUUGAAGUGUGGACGCCAGUCUGCAUGGAGCCGACCUUGAAAUACCACCCUUUAAUGUUUGAUGUUCUAACGUUGACCCGUAAUCCGGGUUGCGGACAGUGUCUGGUGGGUAGUUUGACUGGGGCGGUCUCCUCCUAAAGAGUAACGGAGGAGCACGAAGGUUGGCUAAUCCUGGUCGGACAUCAGGAGGUUAGUGCAAUGGCAUAAGCCAGCUUGACUGCGAGCGUGACGGCGCGAGCAGGUGCGAAAGCAGGUCAUAGUGAUCCGGUGGUUCUGAAUGGAAGGGCCAUCGCUCAACGGAUAAAAGGUACUCCGGGGAUAACAGGCUGAUACCGCCCAAGAGUUCAUAUCGACGGCGGUGUUUGGCACCUCGAUGUCGGCUCAUCACAUCCUGGGGCUGAAGUAGGUCCCAAGGGUAUGGCUGUUCGCCAUUUAAAGUGGUACGCGAGCUGGGUUUAGAACGUCGUGAGACAGUUCGGUCCCUAUCUGCCGUGGGCGCUGGAGAACUGAGGGGGGCUGCUCCUAGUACGAGAGGACCGGAGUGGACGCAUCACUGGUGUUCGGGUUGUCAUGCCAAUGGCACUGCCCGGUAGCUAAAUGCGGAAGAGAUAAGUGCUGAAAGCAUCUAAGCACGAAACUUGCCCCGAGAUGAGUUCUCCCUGACUCCUUGAGAGUCCUGAAGGAACGUUGAAGACGACGACGUUGAUAGGCCGGGUGUGUAAGCGCAGCGAUGCGUUGAGCUAACCGGUACUAAUGAACCGUGAGGCUUAACCUUACAACGCCGAAGGUGUUU
rnacentral:rRNA from 1 species